rnacentral:snoRNA from 1 species
CCUGCCUGUGAGGCAAUUGAUGCGGAGUCACAUGUGCAUCAGUAGGUGGCAGAGAAGAGAGAGGUUAGUGUUCUGACCUAUCAACAUCUGAAUGACUAGUACCCUGAUAUU